rnacentral:rRNA from 1 species
GAUGAACGCUGGCGGCGUGCCUAAUACAUGCAAGUCGAGCGAACAGAUGAGGAGCUUGCUCCUCUGACGUUAGCGGCGGACGGGUGAGUAACACGUGGAUAACCUACCUAUAAGACUGGGAUAACUUCGGGAAACCGGAGCUAAUACCGGAUAAUAUAUUGAACCGCAUGGUUCAAUAGUGAAAGACGGUUUUGCUGUCACUUAUAGAUGGAUCCGCGCCGCAUUAGCUAGUUGGUAAGGUAACGGCUUACCAAGGCAACGAUGCGUAGCCGACCUGAGAGGGUGUUCGGCCACACUGGAACUGAGACACGGUCCAGACUCCUACGGGAGGCAGCAGUAGGGAAUCUUCCGCAAUGGGCGAAAGCCUGACGGAGCAACGCCGCGUGAGUGAUGAAGGUCUUCGGAUCGUAAAACUCUGUUAUUAGGGAAGAACAAAUGUGUAAGUAACUAUGCACGCCUUGACGGUACCUAAUCAGAAAGCCACGGCUAACUACGUG